UACGGAGGGUGCAAGCGUUAUCCGGAUUCACUGGGUUUAAAGGGUGCGUAGGUGGGUUUGUAAGUCAGUGGUGAAAUCUCCAAGCUUAACUUGGAAACUGCCGUUGAUACUAUAAAUCUUGAAUGUUGUUGGAGGUGAGCGGAAUAUGUCAUGUAGCGGAUGAAAUGCUUAGAUAUGACAUAGAACACCAAUUGCGAAGGCAGCUCACUACACAAAGAUU
rnacentral:rRNA from 1 species